GCGGGUGUAGUUUAGUGGUAAAACCUCAGCCUUCCAAGCUGAUGUCGCGAGUUCGAUUCUCGUCACCCGCU
rnacentral:tRNA from 3 species